rnacentral:rRNA from 1 species
GACGAACGCUGGCGGCGUGCUUAACACAUGCAAGUCGAACGGAAAGGCCCUGCUUUUGUGGGGUGCUCGAGUGGCGAACGGGUGAGUAACACGUGAGUAACCUGCCCUUGACUUUGGGAUAACUUCAGGAAACUGGGGCUAAUACCGGAUAGGAGCUCCUGCUGCAUGGUGGGGGUUGGAAAGUUUCGGCGGUUGGGGAUGGACUCGCGGCUUAUCAGCUUGUUGGUGUGGUAGUGGCUUACCAAGGCUUUGACGGGUAGCCGGCCUGAGAGGGUGACCGGCGACAUUGGGACUGAGAUACGGACCAGACUCCUACGGGAGGCAGCAGUGGGGAAUAUUGCACAAUGGGCGGAAGCCUGAUGCAGCAACGCCGCGUGCGGGAUGACGGCCUUCGGGUUGUAAACCGAUUUCGCCUGUGACGAAGCGUGAGUGACGGUAAUGGGUAAAGAAGCAACGGCUAACUACGUG